ACUAUUCCUAGCCCAAAACCUCCCACUCUCCAGUUUAAAUAACUAAAUUAAUUAAAAUAAAACAUUUACCCUAAUUAAAGUAUAGGAGAUAGAAAUUCUAAACACGGCGCUAUAGAGAAAGUACCGCAAGGGAAUGAUGAAAGAAAAAAAAUCAUAGUACAAAAAAGCAAAGAUUAACCCUUGUACCUUUUGCAUAAUGAAUUAACGAGCAAAAAACUUAACAAAACGAAUUUUAGCUAAGUAACCCGAAACCAGACGAGCUACUUAUAGACAGUUUAUUAGAACCAACUCAUCUAUGUGGCAAAAUAGUGAGAAGAUCCAUAAGUAGAGGUGACAUGCCUAACGAGCCUGGUGAUAGCUGGUUGUCCAGAAAAUGAAUUUUAGUUCAGCUUUAAAGAUACCAAAAAUACAAAUAAAUCCCACUGUAUCUUUAAAAGUUAGUCUAAAAAGGUACAGCCUUUUAGAAAUGGGUACAACCUUCACUAGAGAGUAAGAUCUAAAAAUACCAUAGUAGGCCUAAAAGCAGCCAUCAAUUAAGAAAGCGUUAAAGCUCAACAACAAUAGUAUUAUUAAUCCCAGCAAUAACAUUAGCCAACUCCUAGAUUUAAUACUGGACUAUUCUAUUACUAAAUAGAAGCAAUAAUGUUAAUAUGAGUAACAAGAAAUAUUUUCUCCUCGCACAAGUUUAAGUCAGUAACUGAUAAUACCCUGACCGUUAACAGUAAAUAAAAAUAACCCAACAAUAAAUGAUUUAUUACUUAUACUGUUAACCCAACACAGGAGUGCACCCAGGAAAGAUUCAAAGAAGUAAAAGGAACUCGGCAAACACUAAACCCCGCCUGUUUACCAAAAACAUCACCUCCAGCAUCCCUAGUAUUGGAGGCACUGCCUGCCCAGUGACUAAACGUUAAACGGCCGCGGUAUUCUGACCGUGCAAAGGUAGCAUAAUCAUUUGUUCUCUAAAUAAGGACUUGUAUGAAUGGCCACACGAGGGUUUUACUGUCUCUUACUUCCAAUCAGUGAAAUUGACCUCCCCGUGAAGAGGCGGGGAUAAAUCAACAAGACGAGAAGACCCUAUGGAGCUUUAACUAAGUAACUCAAGGAAAAUAAAUUCAACCACCAAGGGAUAACAACACUCCUUAUGAGUUAACAGUUUCGGUUGGGGUGACCUCGGAGAACAGAAAAUCCUCCGAGCGAUUUUAAAGACUAGACUAACAAGUCAAACCAAACCAUCGCUUAUUGAUCCAAAAACUUGAUCAACGGAACAAGUUACCCUAGGGAUAACAGCGCAAUCCUAUUCGGAUAACAGCGCAAUCCUAUUCAAGAGUCCAUAUCGACAAUAGGGUUUACGACCUCGAUGUUGGAUCAGGACAUCCCGAUGGUGCAACCGCUAUCAAAGGUUCGUUUGUUCAACGAUUAAAGUCCUACGUGAUCUGAGUUCAGACCGGAGUAAUCCAGGUCGGUUUCUAUCUGUUAUGUAUUUCUCCCAGUACGAAAGGACAAGAGAAAUAAGGCCAACUUUAACAAAGCGCCUUAAACCAAUUAAUGACUUUAUCUUAAUUAAUUUCACAACAAAACCUGCCCUAGAAAAGGGCCCA
rnacentral:rRNA from 1 species